GAGGCGCAAUUUUCCGCUAUGCUACGCUGAUUUGACUUGAUGAGCUAUGUUCGCGGCGAUGUCGAUUUGAUCUUACCGGAGACGAUCGAAUAGGAUCAAUUGAUACUGAGCUGGAUCUUGACUGGCAUAUCAACCUCGAUCGUCCGCCGGCGCUUGGCUAUAUUUAUAACGCUUAUACGCAUCUGGCACGCAGACUCGGCAACUAUAUUUACGCCUCCAGCUGCAAUCGGUCUGUAAAGAGAAGAUGUCCAUGAAUGAAUACAUCUCCAAAAUUGCGGUAAUCAAGGAAGCGCUCG
rnacentral:lncRNA from 1 species